UAAACUAAAUAUAUAGGUUUUGAAAAGAGUUAACUAUUUUAUGAUCAUUUCAAUUAGUAAAAUGUUUAUUAAUAUUUUUAUUUGAUAAAUAAGAAAGUCGUAAUCUUCUUAUUUUGUUGAUUGUUUUUUUGAAUUGCUAAACACCGCCAGUUUUUACUUAACACAGCUCAUACACAUUACCUUUUUACCCUUUUUAUUUUUUGAAUAGAAAACUAAAUCAUAAACAAAAACCUAAAUCCUCUCAACUCAUUCAACCAUAUUCAAACUCAUAUUCUACAGCAAUAUCGGAUUUCGAACGAGAUGAAAAUCGACAACUCCUGGGCGGAAAACGUAGAGGGAAGUCGUUUUUGCCCCAGAAUUAGGUGGGUCGGGAGCCCGUCACGUUGCUACGCGUAAAAUUUCUGUCUCAGCUCGACGAAAGAACCAACCGACGCAUACUUCUCCCGAUAACAGGCGCAUGUCAGUUGAUGAUCUUAGAGAGUCUGAUGAUUUUAAUAGCUCAGAGGACGAGCCAAGUGAAAAAAAUUACAUUUCUAAACGGAAGAAGGGUGCAGGUGGUCGGUUCGUUGGCGACUCGUCAUCAGAAAAAGGUGAGGUUCAUGGACCACACACCACACCCUCUUCUAUUUACAUCGGCCAUGAUGUAAUUAAUACUGAAAAUUCAACGUCAACGACGUAGUUUUAGUGUUUUAUCCAUGUUAAUUUAGCUAAGCAGUAAUGACUUGGUCCAUAAAAAAUUUAAAACACAACUAAUUUAUUUUUUUUUUUAACGGAGAUAUAUUAUUGAAGGAUCAUUCAAAGUACAAUACAAAAUAAGAAACACAAAACUUAACUAAGGGAGGAUACAACGUUUAACCUGCUGCACCCAAUUAUGCGCUUCUAUGUUUUGUUGUCGAGGUACUGAUUGGGAGACAAUAUUAUCGAAGGAAUUUUGAAGAUGCCAGAUAUCUGCACAAACACCUUGAAGACUUGCUAUGGAGCAUUUUUGAGAUUUGAUGAUAGUGGUAAUUUGGAGAGCAUCACCUUCGAAGAUUGUAUUUUUCCAACCUUUUGAAAUUGCCCAAUUCAUUGCUUCUCGAAGAGCCAACAUUUCCAAAAUUCCCGGGUCCCAAAUAAAUCUGUAUGCUGCCGAGAACUUACCUUUCAAGCACAUAUGUUCAUCUUUAGACACAAUUCCUACAAAACCUCUUUUCUUUUGUGCAUCGACAGCAGCAUCAUAAUUUAGCUUUAUAAAUUCUGUCGGAAUUCCUUGGAUAUUUGUGAUGUGAAUGUGAUUGCUUGAUCUACAAGGAUGAGGAAUCAGUGAUUUUUCCAUGGACUGCUGGAAUUCUUCUGCGUCCCUUAAAAUACUGUGGAUUGUGUCCUCAGGUGUGGGUAUAUCAUCUUUGAAAAUGAGGUUGUUCCUGGCUUUCCAGAUGUGCCACAAAGAAAAGCCAAAGAUAGUUAUGGCUUUGUUAGCAGGGUCGAGAUCUUUAAGCUGCAUUGUAAUUUUCUUCCAUUGGGUUGCAAAAUUUGAUGAAAUGUCAGCAGUUGAUCGAUAAUGGAGUGGUCCUUUAAACCAUAUUUGUUUAGCAAAUGGGCAAGUAAAUAGGAGGUGGGUUAAUGUUUCACGUUCAGUGCAGUAAGAGCAUUCUGGGGGAAGAAGAAGUCGUUGAUGGAGUGCAGCUCCCGUUGGCAAACCAUCAUGUAUGCAUCGCCAAAUGAAUAUCUUGAUUUUAUUUGGUAAUGAUAACUCCCAUAUGUAUUUCCAGUCCUGUUUGGAUAAUUGGGGUAUCAGCGAAGUAUAUUCUCUGAAUCCGUUAUUGAGAGCAAUAUGAUAUCCAGACUUGACUGUAUAUUCUCCGUCAGGUUUGUAGUGCCAAAUCAGUCUAUCUUCAUGAGGCCAGUAAGGUAAUGGUAGAGCAAGAAUUCUGUCAGCAUCUUCUUUCACAAAUGUGUUCAAGAUUAAUGCUGAAUUCCAAUCCCGUGUGACUGGAUUAAUUAACUCCGAUAUCCUUCCUGAGAGCGGUGUCUGUAGAAAUAAGGGUUUUGGAAGAAAGGGGUAAGACCCCGGUAUCCAGGGAUCCCGAAAGUAUUGGAGUGAUGAUCCACUGUUAAUUUGCCAGCGCAAUCCUUUCAUAAGGAGAUCUCUACCCCAAAGCAAACUUCUCCAUCCCCAUGAUGGCCGUCCAGACAAUCUGCCCUCGAGUAUUGUAGAAGAAGGAAAAUACUUGCUUUGAUAGACUUUGUAAAGCAAAGAGUUAGGAUUUUUCAUAAUUCUCCAGAAUUGUUUACCCAAAAGGGCUUGAUUGAAUGCUUGCAAAUCCUUAAACCCUAGACCCCCUUCCCAUUUUCUGUGGCUCAUCUUACUCCAAGCUAUCCAGCAUAUUUUCUUUUCAGAUUCUUUCUGACCCCACCAGAAUUGCCUAACUAGGUGGUGAAUACGAUGGCAAAGAGACUGUGGAAGUCUGAAACACAUCAUGCCAUAAAUUGGGAUAGCCAUUGCAACUGCUUUAAUCAUAAUUUCCUUCCCUGCUGAGGAUAAAAAAUUUUCUUUCCAUCCGGCUAAUUUUGAAGCAAUAGCAGAGAUGAUGUGUGAGAAGGUCUGAUUUUUGGAUCUCAAAAUCUGAUACGGAAGGCCCAAGUACUUUUCCUGAAUUGCAUUUUGCGGAAUGCCUAACAUCUCAGUAUAUAGCUGCCUUUGGUACUCAUCUACAUUUGCGCUGUAGAAAACUGAAGAUUUUUUGUAAUUGAUACACUGACCACUUUGUUGGGCAUAUGUAUUGAGGAUAAGCUGGAUGUUUAAGAUUGCAGGAAGGGUGGUCUUGGAGAAGAUUAUGGUAUCAUCCGCAAAAAGCAAAUGGGUGAUUGUUGGACAUCUGUAAUUGAGUUUAAUGCCUUGGAGGGAUUUAUCUAGGAUUGCUGAACUGAUUAUCUGAGUCAAGCCUUCAGAACAUAGGACAUAUAUCAAAGGAGACAUUGGAUCUCCUUGUCUUAUGCCCCGAGUUGGUUUAAAGAAACCGUGGGAGGAUCCAUUAAUUCGGACUGAGUACGUUACAGAUGUAAUACACUUCAUGAUCCAUUUAAUAAAGAUGGGGUGGAAACCCCAAGCAGUAAGAAUAGAAUGAAUGUAUGGCCACUCCAGCCGGUCAUAGGCUUUGCUGAUAUCUAAUUUUAGAGCCAUGAAAUGGGUGUUUCCUGAAGGUCGGGUUUUCAAAUAGUGAAUCAGUUCAUGGGCCAGUAGGACAUUGUCCGAAAUGGACCACCCUUUUGUAAAAGCAUUUUGAUUUUGGGAAGUUAAGACAGGUACAAUGUUUUGAAGUCUGGAUGUAAGGAUUUUAGAUAUUAUCUUGUAAAAGACUGAACAAAGGCUUAUGGGUCGAAAAUCGGAGACUAUGAGAGGUUUAGGGAUUUUAGGGAUUAGGGCAAUGAUUGUAUGGUUUAAGCUAGUCAAUAUGUGACCCCCUUGGAAGAAGUUUUGAAUCGAUAGUAUAAUGUCAUUUUGGAUGAGAUACCAGAAAUUUUGGUAGAACAAGGAGGUAAACCCGUCACUCCCUGGGGCUUUGGAAGGAUUAAUGGAGAAGGUAGCAUUUGAAAUUUCCUGGAUUGAAACUGGUCUACAUAAUGCCAAAUUCAUAUCGAAAUUGACUCUAGUUGGGACUGGAUUGUUUACCUGUGUUUGCGAACUUUGAAAUGUGGAGGUAAAUUGAUCCUUGAAAUGCUCCAGUAUUAGUUGUCGAAUCAUGUGAGGCUGUGUGGUCCAAUUUCCAUGGGGAUCAGUUAAACCAAGAAUAGUAUUCUUCCUCCUACGAUGCAUGGUGCUGGCAUGGAAGUAUUUUGUGUUUUGAUCCCCCUGUUGUAGCCAAGUCUGCCUUGAUUGUCUCCAAAAGUCAUCCUCCUGUUUGCGUGCCUCAUAUAGUUGCUGCUCCAGUUGUCUGAUAUAUGGCCAAUGAAUAUACACUGGUGGUUGGGAUUUCGCACUUUGUAAUUGUUGCGUUAGCUGUUGAAUUUUGGUUUUUGCGUUUGUUUUGGAGUCACUAUUCCACUUGACAAGAGAAUGACGGACAUUUUUUAAUUUUUGGUAAAGCUGAUACAUUGGAGAGCCAUUGGAGUUGAAAUUCCAUGCUUCUUCAAUGAUCUGGUGAAUUUGUGGAUGCUUGAGCCAAUGUUUAUCAAAAUGAAACAUGCCUUUUGGGCGAGGUAUAGUGGUAUCCGUUGUAAACAGAAGGGCACAAUGAUCUGAUCCAAUCACAUCUAAAUGCUGGACUUGUGCAUGAAUAUGGUGCUGUAACCAGUUUGGGCUAGCAAAAACACGAUCAAUUCUCUCUUGGAUAAGGUAUGGAUGUGCUCUACGGUUGCUCCAAGUAUAAUCAGAACCCAAAUAGCUUAAACUAUGCAUAUUCAUAUUGAAAAUAAAGGUUUGAAAAAUUACAUGCUGGUUUGGAUCAAAGGGCAGACCUCCUAACUUAUCUGUUUGAUCUAAGACAUCAUUAAAGUCCCCCACAAAAACAAAAGACUGACAAAGCCGAUUCUUUAAGCUAGCUAGACAUUGAAAUUGCCCAUCCCGCACUGAUUGUUUGGUGUUUAGAUGGCAACUAACUAAAUCAAAACAAACAUCAAAUUGAUCUAUGAUUGACAUAGCUACAAAAUAAGUAUCAUAUUGAUGAAUUUGAACCUGUAUAUCCAGAUUCCAAAAUAGGGCCAUGCCUCCCGAGUUUCCUUGAGGCUCGAUCACAAAAUGUUUCUGGAACUUUAAGGCCUUUGUCAGUGAAAGGGUUUUAUCCAACUUGUUUUUUGUUUCAACUAAAAUGACCAUAUCUGGAUUGGCAGUUUUGCACAUAGUCUUUAGUUGCUGGAUUGUCAGGGGAUUCCCCAACCCCUGACAAUUCCAGAAAAUCAGCUUCAUGGAUCCUUUGGAGACCCAUUAGGGGUGGUCUCCUCAUCCCAGAAGAAGCUGUCUGUGUUGAAGGGUUCUUCCAAUUCUUCAAUAAUAACUGGCAGUUGACCUGCAGAGUUGAAAAAGUCUGGCAAGGUAUAGUUGGUUUCUGCUGCUGUGUGCAUUGUUUUGCUGAUUUUAAGAUGAUCUUGUUCAUGAUGUGUGACCCAAUCAAUCUUUCGCUUACCCUCUACUACCUGCAUUGCCAUGGAAUCAGACUGGUAAAGAGUAGAAGCUUCAUGACGAACAAUUCGAGUCCAUGUGGUCUGGGUCUUUACAGCAGAAGAGGAAGAUUCCUGACAAUAUUUGUUUCUCAGUGCCAUGCCAAGUAUGGGAUUCGUGUUGUAAUCAUCAAUGCAGGCUUCUUGGAAGAGAGUGAGGAUUUCCUCUUGAUAAGCUGCAUUGCAGUCCGUUGAACCAUUGGCACAGUGUGGAUUAUUGCGAUAUAAGAGAUCCAAACAUACUUCAAUCUGUUCUAUCUCAGCCAGCAUAAUGUGUGGGCCUCCAUUUAGAAAUUUGGCUUUCAAAUGUGGGCUUAGAAUAUGAAUGAGAUGCUGGGGGAGAAAAACAGGUUUUGGGCUUCUAGUUGGGCCAUAUUGUUUAGGGGGUGGGUUCUGCAGGAUAGGAUGUGUAGCGGGAACAGUUGUAUAUAUUGGGUUAAUGAUAAUGCCUUUAGAGAAGUCAAGGAGUGCUUUGGUAAGUAAGGCAGGUGAAGGAGCUGUGGUAUUAAUGCCAGGUGUUUUGGAUUGUGCAGUAAAUUGGAAAGAUGGUUCUUGGAUAGCGGGGUACUUACCUUUUGUCGGGGCACGUGUACCCUCAAAUGCUGUAGAAUCAUCUGACAGUAAGAUUUGUGGCGGCUUAACCAUCAUAGUGCUUUCCACUACCUCGUCAUUUGAAAUGGUAGUUGUGCAUGGAUACUGUGGCAUGCAUGGCAGAGGGGUUGUGACAGCCGGAUUGGUGUUGGUGUUCUGCUCAGCCGGAAAAUGUAGCGGAACUUGACGGCAGUGCUGCGGCCGGCGAGUGUCUGCCUGGAAAUGGGCAUCAUAGUCACUCUUAUUUCGGACCAAAGAGCUAUGUAGCAGUGGUGCAGCUCCUAGAAAUGGCCCAUAAGGGAGAGGUUGCCCAGGUUGCAUGUAGAUGCGUUGAGCUUCAUUAUCCAGCCGGUACCUGCAAGCACGAAUCAUAUGACCCAUACGGCCACAAUAAAAACAAGUAUCUGGGAAACCUUCAUACUUGAAAUCAACCCAGACCGCAGCAGGAGUAUUAGGGUUAGUCAUGAUGCCCUUUGCAAAUGGUUUAUUAGCUAGAAUCUCCACCUUAAGACGCAAGAAUUGCUGUCUCCAGAUAGGGUUAGUUGCAUCAAUAUCAACUUCCAGUAGCCUGUGGAACAUAGCCCCUAAUUUGGUAGCAUUCAUUGCUGUAAUUUGAUUCCUAGGGAGGCCAUGAAUCUGGACCCAGAAGAUGGUGGUUCUAAAUUGAAUAUGGUUGAUGUUUUUAUGAGUUGGCCAUUCUUUAAUAACCAUAUGCUGGUGCAGGAUAUUCCAUGGCCGUUGCGCGAGUACUUUAUCAUAGUCGGUCUUGUUCUCGAAGGCGAAUGAAAAUAAGCUGAAGGAGACCCGUUCCACCAAUAGACCUGCUGUAGGUUUCCAUUCCUGUUGAACCCAUUGUUGAACUUCAGGAGCUUCAAAGGUCUUCUUUGUGAGGAUGCGCCCUAAUUCGCACUUUUUGAUUUCAAUUCCACCCUCAAAAUCAAAUUGGACUCUUUUCCACACAAAAAGUUAAAAAUGAAUGACUUAUUUUAACUUUUUUUAAAAUGGAGAAGAGAUCAAUUUAGUACUUGAGCAGUGGCGGAGCCACAUAGAAAGUAAGAGGGGCAUUUGCCCCUCUUAUUCUUUCAAAAAGGCAGAUUUUCUAAGUAAUUUUUAAAAAAAUUAUCAUGUUAUUUAGACAAUUACUACAUAUUGACCCCCUUAAUUUUAACAAAUUUUCAAAUUUUGUAUAUUAUAUAAAAACAAUUCUAUUUUACCCCCCUUAAUUUUGAUUUCUGGUUACGCCACUGUACUUGAGGGUGGAAUUGAAAACCAAAGGUGUGAAUCAGGAUGCAGCUGACAAAAUCGCAACGUCAGGGUGCAUCUGAAAAGGGGCUAAAAGGUGGGUUAUUUGUGUGAUUAAACCUAAAAAAACAAAUGUUCCUAAGUCGCACCAAUACUUAAAUAAGCACUUGGCUAAAUAUAUCGCUCGUUUUUUUUUAAACUUGGCCUAAAAUGAUCUUAUCAUUUAAAAAUGAUAUCUAGCGUUAUUUAAAAAAUGAUGAAAUAAACUUUUUUGUUAUUGAUUUUUUUAGGCAAAUCUUUUGAAAAAACCUUCACCUUUUAGCCUCAAUUCAUUUGCACCCUCACGUUGUAAAAUCACCAAUUUUAUCCAAAUUAUGACCCUUCGUUUUCAAUUGCACCCUAACCUAAAAAAAUUGACACCAUGGCAGUCAUGUCAGCUAAUUUUGCUUAAUCAUCAACUGACAUGUCAUUUAAAAAAUUAAAAUAAUAAUUAAUUUUUUAUUUAAAACUAUAUGGACUUUUUUUUACACUUUUUAAAACUAUAGGAAUUUUGUUUUGCAUUUUUCCUCUAACUUUAAUUAACCAAACAAAUAACCCUAAUUCAUACAACAUCCAACCCGCCGCCAGCCAUUUUCUUCUUCUCCUUUUCACAACCAUCUUCGCCUGCAACAAUCCAUCAUCACCAUGCAUCUUUCGUUCGCACCACCACCUAUGAGCGCUGUUCGAGCACGGCAAAUUUUCUUCUGUGGAUAAAAUUUUGUGGAUAAGUGUUCGAGCAGACCUUUCGUUUCUUUGAUUUUUUUCUCCGAUGAAAGAUAGGAUUGGAAGCGUGGCGACUUGGCAUGAGAUUGAAGAUGUAGUGGCUGAUGGGAUUUUUUAAUAUGAUCAAUUCUUUUUGUGUUCUUGCAGAUGUGGUGUUUACCACUGUCAUUUUUUUCUUUGUUUUGUAAUCUUUGAGUUUAAGAUUUUAGUUUUAGGUGGUUGCAGGUGCUGGGUUCGGCUGAAGGUAAAGGAAGAUUAAGAUUGGGUUAGUUUAUUAGGUUAAUCAGGUUUUUGUUUUGAAAUCAGGUUAAUUAGGUUUAAUUAGGUUUAAUUGAUUAGGUUUAAUUAGGAUUAGGUUUUAAUUAAAGUUAAUUAUGAUUAAUUAAGGUAAGUGUGAUUAUUUAAGAUUAACUAAUAACAUAAUGUAAAAAGAGCAAAAGAGUUCCUUAAGUUUAAAUAAAAAUUUAAUUAUUAUUUUUAAUUUUUUAAAUAAUAUGUCAGCCGAUGAAUAAGCAAGGGCUAUAGGGUAAUUACAAUGAAUUUGCUGACAUGGCUUUCUAUGUGUCAAAAAAGCGUGUGCCAAUUUCGGUUAGGGUGCAAUUGAAAACAAAAGGUUAUAAUUUGGAUAAAAUUGGUGAUUUUACAAUGUGAUGGUGCAAAUAAAUUGGGGCUAAAAGGUGGAGGUUUUUUCAGAGGAUUAUCCAUUUUUAUAAUGUCAAGUUCCGAGUUGAAAUAGACCAUUUGAAUUUUAAUUGAAUAAAAUGUCAUGUGUAUGUUA